rnacentral:rRNA from 1 species
GAACGCUGGCGGCGUGCCUAAUACAUGCAAGUCGAACGAACUCUGGUAUUGAUUGGUGCUUGCAUCAUGAUUUACAUUUGAGUGAGUGGCGAACUGGUGAGUAACACGUGGGAAACCUGCCCAGAAGCGGGGGAUAACACCUGGAAACAGAUGCUAAUACCGCAUAACAACUUGGACCGCAUGGUCCGAGCUUGAAAGAUGGCUUCGGCUAUCACUUUUGGAUGGUCCCGCGGCGUAUUAGCUAGAUGGUGGGGUAAUGGCUCACCAUGGCAAUGAUACGUAGCCGACCUGAGAGGGUAAUCGGCCACAUUGGGACUGAGACACGGCCCAAACUCCUACGGGAGGCAGCAGUAGGGAAUCUUCCACAAUGGACGAAAGUCUGAUGGAGCAACGCCGCGUGAGUGAAGAAGGGUUUCGGCUCGUAAAACUCUGUUGUUAAAGAAGAACAUAUCUGAGAGUAACUGUUCAGGUAUUGACGGUAUUUAACCAGAAAGCCACGGCUAACUACGUGCCAGCAGCCGCGGUAAUACGUAGGUGGCAAGCGUUGUCCGGAUUUAUUGGGCGUAAAGCGAGCGCAGGCGGUUUUUUAAGUCUGAUGUGAAAGCCUUCGGCUCAACCGAAGAAGUGCAUCGGAAACUGGGAAACUUGAGUGCAGAAGAGGACAGUGGAACUCCAUGUGUAGCGGUGAAAUGCGUAGAUAUAUGGAAGAACACCAGUGGCGAAGGCGGCUGUCUGGUCUGUAACUGACGCUGAGGCUCGAAAGUAUGGGUAGCAAACAGGAUUAGAUACCCUGGUAGUCCAUACCGUAAACGAUGAAUGCUAAGUGUUGGAGGGUUUCCGCCCUUCAGUGCUGCAGCUAACGCAUUAAGCAUUCCGCCUGGGGAGUACGGCCGCAAGGCUGAAACUCAAAGGAAUUGACGGGGGCCCGCACAAGCGGUGGAGCAUGUGGUUUAAUUCGAAGCUACGCGAAGAACCUUACCAGGUCUUGACAUACUAUGCAAAUCUAAGAGAUUAGACGUUCCCUUCGGGGACAUGGAUACAGGUGGUGCAUGGUUGUCGUCAGCUCGUGUCGUGAGAUGUUGGGUUAAGUCCCGCAACGAGCGCAACCCUUAUUAUCAGUUGCCAGCAUUAAGUUGGGCACUCUGGUGAGACUGCCGGUGACAAACCGGAGGAAGGUGGGGAUGACGUCAAAUCAUCAUGCCCCUUAUGACCUGGGCUACACACGUGCUACAAUGGAUGGUACAACGAGUUGCGAACUCGCGAGAGUAAGCUAAUCUCUUAAAGCCAUUCUCAGUUCGGAUUGUAGGCUGCAACUCGCCUACAUGAAGUCGGAAUCGCUAGUAAUCGCGGAUCAGCAUGCCGCGGUGAAUACGUUCCCGGGCCUUGUACACACCGCCCGUCACACCAUGAGAGUUUGUAACACCCAAAGUCGGUGGGGUAACCUUUUAGGAACCAGCCGCCUAAGGUGGGACAGAUGAUUAGGGUGAAGUCGAACAG